CUCUGCAGAAAGACGUACGGGGAGAUGGCGGUGCAGUCGAAAAGAAAUGAGAAUACCCCGACAAAAAAGCAAACGCGUUGGUUCACAAAGUUCUCAACAUCCUUCAAACAAUUUCUUUCUUUCUUUCUUUCUUUCUUUCUUUC
rnacentral:ribozyme from 11 species